CAGCCGCCCGGUAAUACGUAGGGGGCGAGCGUUGUCCGGAAUUACUGGGCGUAAAGGGCGUGUAGGCGGCCUGUUAAGUCAGGGGUGAAAGACCGGGGCUCAACCCCGGGGGUGCCUCUGAAACUGGCGGGCUUGAGUGCUCUAGAGGGCAGUGGAAUUCCCGGUGUAGCAGUGAAAUGCGUAGAGAUCGGGAGGAACACCAGUGGCGAAGGCGGCUGCCUGGGGAGUCACUGACGCUGAGGCGCGAAAGCUAGGGGAGCAAACAGGAUUAGAUACCCUGGUAGUCCUAGCCGUAAACGAUGAGCGCUAUGUGUGAGGGGUAUCGACCCCCCUCGUGCAGUAGCUAACGCAUUAAGCGCUCCGCCUGGGGAGUACGGCCGCAAGGUUGAAACUUAAAGGAAUUGGCGGG
rnacentral:rRNA from 1 species